AUACGGAGGGUGCAAGCGUUAAUCGGAAUUACUGGGCGUAAAGCGUACGUAGGCGGUCCGUUAAGUUAGAUGUGAAAGCCCCGGGCUUAACCUGGGAACUGCAUUUAAAACUGGCGAACUAGAGUUGAGUCGAGGGGAGUGGAAUUUCAGGUGUAGCGGUGAAAUGCGUAGAGAUCUGAAGGAAAACCAGUGGCGAAGGCGACUCCCUGGACUCGAACUGACGCUGAGGUACGAAAGCGUGGGUAGCAAACGGGAUUAGAAACCCUAGUAGUCC
rnacentral:rRNA from 1 species